GCAAAAUCCAAAGGCAACUUCCAAGUGUGCGGAUGUACUAGCCAACACCCUGCCCUCACUCAAGAAUAGACAAUAAAACAGCCACCAAUCAAAGGAAAGAAAGACUCACUUUUCCAAUGGACUCUUUUGAUAAUUUCACAUUCACAAAAUUAUUUCUACAAUUUAUGCAAUGAUCAUGUCACAAGCACAGUUUAGAGGUCAAGUAGGACUGUGAUCAAGCCUCAUCAACAAUGAUUAUACGCUUAUAGCAUCAUAGCAUCCAAUGAUGUGUUAUCAUAAUAGCAACAAUUAAUUCUUAAUCCUAAACUAGUUAAGGUUUGCUUUAUGGAUCUUUUUUAAUUCUAUUUGAGACCAAUUCCACAUCAAUAUUAAAAAAUUGUAAAU
rnacentral:misc_RNA from 1 species